rnacentral:rRNA from 1 species
UACGAGGGGGGCAAGUGUUGUUCGGAAUCACUGGGCGUAAAGGGUGCGUAGGUGGGAAGGUAAGUCAGUGGUGAAAUCCCCGAGCUUAACUUGGGAACUGCCAUUGAUACUAUCUUUCUUGAAUACCUUGGAGGUGAGCGGAAUAUGUCAUGUAGCGGUGAAAUGCUUAGAUAUGACAUAGAACACCAAUUGCGAAGGCAGCUCACUACACGGUCAUUGACACUGAGGCACGAAAGCGUGGGGAUCAAACAGG